rnacentral:tRNA from 1 species
GGGCUUGUAGCUCAGUUGGUUAGAGCAACCGGCUCAUAACCGGUAGGUCACUGGUUCAAGUCCAGUCAAGCCCA